rnacentral:rRNA from 1 species
UCGAAGGUAGCAUAAUCAGUAGUUUUUUAAUUGAAAGCUUGUAUGAAUGGUUUAACGAGAUAUUUUCUGUUUCUUUUAAAAUUUAAUUGAAAUUAAUUUUUUAGUAAAAAAGCUAAAAUAUAAUUUAAAGACGAGAAGACCCUUUAGAGUUUAAUAUAAAAUAUUAUAAUUUUUUUUUAUAAUAAUUAGAAUGUUAAUAUAUUUUAUAUUUAAUUGGGGUGAUUAUAAAAAUUAUAUAACUUUUAUUAUUUUUUGACAAAUAUUUUUGAGUAAUUGAUCCAUUAUUAUUGAUUAAAGAUUAAAUUACCUAAGGGAUAACAGCGUAAUUUUUUUGUAGAGUUCUUAUCGAUAAAAAUUUUUGC